rnacentral:rRNA from 1 species
UGGGGAAUAUUGGACAAUGGGCGCAAGCCUGAUCCAGCCAUGCCGCGUGAGUGAUGAAGGCCUUAGGGUUGUAAAGCUCUUUCGCCGACGAAGAUAAUGACGGUAGUCGGAGAAGAAGCCCCGGCUAACUUCGUGCCAGCAGCCGCGGUAAUACGAAGGGGGCUAGCGUUGUUCGGAAUCACUGGGCGUAAAGCGCACGUAGGCGGAUUGUUAAGUCAGGGGUGAAAGCCUGGAGCUCAACUCCAGAACUGCCCUUGAUACUGGCAAUCUCGAGUCCGGAAGAGGUAAGUGGAACUGCGAGUGUAGAGGUGAAAUUCGUAGAUAUUCGCAAGAACACCAGUGGCGAAGGCGGCUUACUGGUCCGGUACUGACGCUGAGGUGCGAAAAGCGUGGGGAGCAAAACAGGAUUAGAUACCCUGGUAGUCCACGCCGUAAACGAUGGAGGCUAGCCGUUGGCGAGCAUGCUCGUCAGUGGCGCAGCUAACGCAUUAAGCCUCCCGCCUGGGGAGUACGGUCGCAAGAUUAAAAGCUCAAAGGAAUUGACGGGGGUCAA